rnacentral:misc_RNA from 1 species
GACAAUGUUGAAUAGAAUUUAACUCAGGUGUACUUGAACUUGGAAAGCAUCAAUUCAAUCUUAUUCAGAAGCCUAGUUGCUUCUUUUUCUCCAGAUGCAAAUGGAUUGGUCCAUUCCUGAUAGUGGUGAAGGCUGCCUGUGAAGUCUGUGAAGAGGCCAUCAACUCCCAUCUUGUUUAUCCAGUAGUCAUACUCGUUGUAUGGAUCUUCACUGAAGUUGAAGUGUACGAAUUGGUUCUCAUUCCGGAAAGUGUAUGGAUGCACCUGUAGAUUACGGGCAUGUGCUCUUGCGAUGAGAUCAGAAGGUGUUUGCAGAUAAUUGUUGGAACAAGGAACUAUGGUGUCCUUCCAGGGACCAAUCCCCACCACAUAAUCCUUGAUAUAAUCAAGAUAACCAUCUGCAGUAAUCUCCCAAUAUGACUGAUUGGUGUCUUGAGUUGGUGUAUUUGUGUCAUCAAUGAGGAAGAUCUUAGGCAGGUCCGUUUGGUUUGAUAUAUAAAUUAGUGACGUCGGCGCAAAAGAUUGAAUGAAUGCAGGCUGCUUUAACCAUUGCUUCGACAUAUAUGAACCUUUGUAUCCAUACUUCUUCAGUGUCUCAACAAACUUGUCCUCAAAUUUCUUACCACCUGGCCAUUUGACGUGUUGGUUGAUAAGGACUGGAUUUUUUAUCUCUGGAUAUAUUCCAACAACUCUAUGGGCAUCCAAUGCAAUUGAGAUGAACUCCUCAAAAGUAAUGAUAGAAAAUUCUCCAUUAUAUUGCUGAUCUCUGAAAGGAUAUCUCUGCUUAACACGCAGAAGCUUCAAUUCUUCAAGGGUGAAGUCAACCAGAAAAUAUCCAGUAGUGUUAACCCCUUGAACAUCA